AAUAAACAAAAAAAGAUCUCUGUAUUUCACUAAGUAACUAAUUUACAAAUGUUGGUCUCCUCGAGAAAACUCCCCGACGAAGAUAUAUAUUCAGUGAUUACAAGAGAAUUUAUAUAGGAAGGUAGUUUUACCCUUCCUUGGAUACUUCCUAGCUAAGGAAUUACAUGGUUGGUUGAAUACAAGGAGAAAAUGGAAAUUUAAACACAAAAAUAUCAGAAGAAAAAGAGUCGGCAAAAAUAUCCAAUUUUCGCACGCUGAGUUCCAAUUUCGCAUGUUGGUUUGAGGUGUGCGAAAAUUUCGCACAGUGGACUGAGGAUUUCGCACCUUAAACAGUGGUGUGCGAAAUUGUCCCUCAGCUUGAUGCAGUUGUCUUCCGAAGUCCAUAUCUUCCUCAUUUCAGCUCCAAAUCAUACGUGGUUUGAACCGUUGGAUUCUUGACUUUCUGAGCUUCGAAAUGGUAUAUAGAAUGCAGAAAAUGAACUUCGGGAAGUGCUCC
rnacentral:lncRNA from 1 species